rnacentral:lncRNA from 1 species
CCUUAAUUAUAGCAAAACAACUUUUUCCCAAUUGAAACUUUUGUUUUCUAUAAUUAACAUUGCUAACUUGCAAUAUUUAUCAUAAUUAUCAUGCUCCCACUAACAUGAUGAUUAUUAGCAUAACACUUAUGCUCCCACUAGCUUUGACAUGUACUCAGAAAUCAGCUGGACUUCUAGAAAUCAAUACUUCAUUGACUUUCUUACCAAAGUUCAGAUUUCUGAUACUAGAUUGUUUUGAUAAAACUUUAUCAUAAUCAUACACCUUAUCUUAGAUAGCUCACAUGUGUGUCUAAACAAUUUCAAGAACUAUGAAAAGGGUUGUUGUAAUCAUAGUCUUGAUCGUUUUGACCUUUGCCACUACUCACAAGUCGAUGUUAGUGUGCCGGUAAACCACACACGCUCCACUAAUGACUUUGAGAAUGCAAAUAUCACAAUUGCUAUCUAGCUAAAAUCUACUUAGUGAAAGUGUUUCCUCACCAUCAUUUUCAUGAAUCAGAGAGAAACCUUAUGACACUUAGAUUUAAUGGUGUAUGUGUUCUUAUCCAUGUGAAUUGUCAAAAUCAUAGUCACAAGACAAGGAUAAUGACAAAUCCAAGCUCAUAUGGACUGAACUCAAUCUUAAUUUCUUGCCACCUGGCAGCUCAAUGGCCUUCCAUUUCUUCCAAGUUGUUGUGCAACCAAUUGAGAACUCUAACAACUCAUAUGCAAAG